CCAGGUACACCUAGGAAAUACAGCCACGGUAAAAAUCCUCAGAUAUUGAUUCAUUUGAAUGUAGUCUUUCGUGGGGAACUACAGUGUCAGGAGGUACGCAAACGGUCUAUCAGCAAUGAAGCCAUAGUUUCAGUAGGUUUGAAUGACCUGUACCUGAGCUCCAUCACUGCAAAUCCUGAUGUCCGGCAGAUCUGUCAAUCUGUGCAUUGACCUCAUGACUUACCAGGCAAUGACUGAAGGUCAUACCUGCCAUUUUGCUCACAAGCUGAAUCUCUGUGAUUACAUGUAAAUCCUUUGCACUGUCAUCAAAAAUCAGAAUGUAUUUCCUGCAGAACAUCUAAUGGCCAAUGGAAAGGAUCUUUCUACUGACAUCAGGCUGCUUUGUAUCUCACUGUAACUCACUCAGUAGCACAAG
rnacentral:lncRNA from 1 species